rnacentral:rRNA from 2 species
ACAACUUUCAGCAACGGAUCUCUUGGCUCUCGCAUCGAUGAAGAACGCAGCGAAAUGCGAUAAGUAAUGUGAAUUGCAGAAUUCAGUGAAUCAUCGAAUCUUUGAACGCACCUUGCGCUCCUUGGUAUUCCGAGGAGCAUGCCUGUUUGAGUGUCAUUAC